CAAACACCUACCGCGUCUGCCAGAGUUCUCGCGAUAACUCUAGGGCCACACCCUCCUCAUCUCCACGUCCCUCUCCCCUCCACCGGCCAAUCCUUGAAGAGUUGCGGCGGAGCUUUGCCUUUGAGCCUGGAGCGGGGCUUUCAAUCCUGGUUCUCUAGCGCUGGGAACCUGCGGGGCGGAGGAGCCACUCGGACGGCGGUGGGCGAGGCUGGGGUUAGACACGUGCUAUCUGUCGCAAGACCCCGGAGACGGCAGAGGUUUCGGGUGCUGCUGUUUCAGAACCUUCUACCUCCCGAGCCCACGCCUGGUCUCCGGGUGAGGGGCGGGAUGGGCCCGAGUGGGCCUGUGGAGGCGCGCAGGGUCCUCUGUGGUGAAAGAGGGAUUCGAGUUGCGGCCUGUCGGGCCCAAUUAGGGAGGCGCCCACACUCCUGAGAGGAUAAGAUGGCAGCUGGAGAUAGUGGCUUUACUGGCGGCGGCAUGAAUCUUUUCCUCAGCGAUUCCGACGAGGACCACGAAGAGGUAGCGAGGAGCGGCGGUCAGGACUUCGGCCGGGUCUCGGGGGUGGCCUAGAUCCCGGCUCCGCGGGUUCGCUCUCGCCGGCGGAUCCCGUGGUCCUGGGGAGCGGUGCGCGGCCGGGCUCCCUGGGGAGACAGCGGCGCCGAGAAACAGCGGGGACACCCGGCCCGAUGGUCAGUUGAUGCGGUCAGCGCUUGCUGACCGCCCUGGAGCUGCACACCGAGCUGCUGGGGAGCCGCCGCGAACUGCCUCGGCUGCGCGACUACUUCACCAACCCAGGCAACCUCGAGAGGCAGAGCUGGAACCCGCCUAGGAUGGGAGCGCGGGGGGUCCUGCAGCAGUUAUGCACUUCAGCCUGAAGAAUGUUAUAGUUAGAAAUUGUGUCUAAUCCUCCAGAUCGUUGAUUUCAUACUUUAAACAUUCAGCUCCUUGAAAUUGACCUAGGAUUAUGGAAUCAACACUGGCCUGGACCUGAAAGACUGGCUCCUAGUCCAAGCUCUGCCACUACCUACCCGGGAAAACUUGGGAAGUUCCUGCCACCUCAUUGAUUCUUCAGCUUCCUAAGUUACUCAGCAUGUUCCCUCUCCUCGUGAGAUUGGUGAAGAAAAUAUUUGGCAAAGUUCUUCAAAGCCACAACAUGGUGGUCAAAGUAGUAAGACAUGGACAGCAUUACAUCAUCUUCAAGAAGGUAUAAAAGAAGACUGGACACACCAUUUGCAAUUUCCUUUUAGCUUUCACUAAACACCAUAGAGAAUUUAGAAGUUCUCACAUCCUGCCCAUAAUGGAAGGAGAAGUAUACAGAUCAAGGAAGAAGAUUCUUUAUUAUUAAAGGAUGAAUUAGAAGAGGAAUGCAACGAGAGAGUAAAACUCUAAAAUCCAGUGAAGGUGAAAUUGAUAGCAUAAGUAACUUCUGACUACAAAUCUUUGGAUGUCAAUAUCCUAGAUGCAUUUUAUCAAACAUAAGAAUUGAUGAGUAGAAUAUAUAUUUCUAAGAACAAAAAGGAAAUAUGGUAUUCUAAUCCAGUUACUCAUUCAAGAGGGAAGGACUUGAUUACACAAUAGUUUGUUGCAAAAACCUGGACUCUCUUGUUUUGCUAAGCAAAUGUGACAGUAUUCUUGCAUCUUUUGUGAUAUUUGUGUGCCAACCCUGACUUAUUAUAGUUCAUAAGUGGGCAAUGCUUACAUAAGGUGUGUAUAUAAAGGUGACUGGAAUGAAUCAAAUGAAAUAGAAAUGAAAAAAAAUAUAUUGGAUUGGAAAAAUAAAAAAUAAAAGGGUCCAUUGUACACAGAUGGUAGAUGGUGAUGACUGUUUUACCUGAUAUAUUGAAAAUUAAAGAGUUGUAAGGCAGAGCUAACAUUUAGUCAAUGCCCUCAAAACAGUUCUAUUUUAAAAUAUCUCAAAGUAGGAAUAAAAGUUUUUUAUGGAUAAAAGUACAUACUCUUUUAAAAAUAAUUUAACACAACAUUUUCAGUCACUCACAUCUCUCUAAAUGAUAGAAAAAUAAUUUUCAAUUUAUUAUCCCAUUUGGCUAUGGUGUUCUUUUCCUAUUUUAAAUAAUUUAUUACAUAAUCAAUUAAAAUUCUUAUUAUAAUGCUAGUUAGUAUCCUCUCCAAAGCUAUCAGUUCGGCAUGUGGCCCUCCAGACAGACCAUCUAUACAGUCACACGUGUACCAGCAGAAUUCUGUAUUUUUAAGAUUAAUGAUAUUAUACUGUAUGUAUAGUUCUGUACUUCCAUUUUUCACUCUACAACCCAUCUUUCAAACUUUCCCAUAUAAGUAUGUAUAGGUCUACCUUAUUCUUCUUAAACUGCCACAUGCUAGUUCAAAGUAUGGAUGUUACCACUAUUAAUUUAACCAUCCCCCUACUGCUUUAAAAAGUUGUUUCCAGUUUUCUCUAUAACUCAAAGUACUGCAGAUGUACAAGUAUUUCUUUGGGGCAGACUUUGACAAGUAGAUUUCUUUAGGCACACAGUUUGGGCAUUCUUUCUUUUAACAGAUAAAGGAGUUGUACUAAUUAAGAGUAUACCAGAAAUAUGUAUGAGAACCCAUUUCACCUUACCAUAUGAUGUUAUCAAACAAUAAUGGUUAAAAACGGAGUCUUGAUGUUGUUUCCA